GUGCGGCGGGGCGGGGGUCACGAGGGCUGUGCAGGUGCAGGUACGGCGGGGCAGAGCCACGUGGGACGACGCGGGCGGAGCCAUCGGGUGGGCGGGGGCGCCCCCGCCCCCGCCCCCGCCCCCCACUCUCGUCAAAGGCCGCCUAGUUUGUCCUCAGUGGGGGCAUCGGACGCACCGGCACCAUCAUCGUGAUUGACAUCCUGGGCUGGACUGCGACAUCGACGUCUCGAAGACGAUCCAGCUGGUUUGGCGGCAGCGCUGGGGAAUGGUGCAGACGGAGGCUCCGUACAAGUUCAUGUACCUGGCGCUGCAGCGGCACAUCCGGGGCGAGUAACUGCGCCUGCGCGAGCAGGUGGGGGCGUGGCCCUGCGGGGCGUGGCCUGUGCGGGCGUCGCCAUGGUGACCGGCGGCCCCUCCCCCCAGCGCGAGCCGCCUCAGGAGCGCGAGAACCAAAAGGUGGGCGCCGCCCCCGGCUCCCCGGGCAUCCCCGGUGUGAGUGGAGCGCCGGGGCCGGUCCGGAGUCCUCCGGGAGGGACUGGGACGUGCGGGGUGCGGGGCUGAGCCGCUGCUCCGCGCGCAGGACCCCGCAGCCCUGGGACGGCGAGGACGCGAACCUGCGGAGCCGCGGGUGUCUGAGGAGCCGCAGGGAACCCCCGGCCUAGCCGCGCCCGCGUGUGGCCGGAGCCGCGGGCCGGGACUGUGUCCAGGACAGAACCACAAGCUUGUCCCCAGCUCAGGGAGGUCCAGGGGCGGCAGAGGGAGCGACAGGCUGUGAAGCCCACCGGUGACCACGUGUGAACCCGUGUGCGCCCCCAGCUCGGCCACUCCGUGCGGGUCUGCCCUGACCGCAGCUCCGGCCUGCCGGCCCUGCCUGCUCCCAUGGUCUGGGAGGUGGCCCCGGUGAGGACCCGGCUCCAUCAGUCACAGGGUGGAUGUUUGUGGAGUGAGGUGUGUGUGACAUAUGACACCGAUGACAAGGGUGUGGGCCUGCGUGGGCCUGACUGCGUGUGUGACACAGAGUGAUGUUGCUGUGACCCGUGGCUGCACUCCCCACAUCACCGGCUUUCACAGCCUUCCAGUAAAGUGCCGUGUUC